rnacentral:rRNA from 1 species
UACGUAGGGUGCGAGCGUUGUCCGGAAUUAUUGGGCGUAAAGAGCUCGUAGGCGGUGUGUCACGUCGGCCGUGAAAACCUGGGGCUUAACUCUGGGCGUGCGGUCGAUACGGGGCAUCACUAGAGUUCGGCAGGGGAGACUGGAAUUCCUGGUGUAGCGGUGAAAUGCGCAGAUAUCAGGAGGAACACCGGUGGCGAAGGCGGGACUCUGGGCCGAUACUGACGCUGGAGGAGCGAAAGCGUGGGGAGCGAACAGG